AUCCAAAAGUAAAAUGAAGAACCUUUCCCGUAUAUUAAGAAACAAUUUUAUUUUAAUAUGAACACUGUGUUUUAAUAUUAGUUUUCAGGGUCCAAACAGGAAGAAGAGAGCAUCCCUGGUAUGGGAGAAGCAAAGCCAGAACAAAGUAAGAAUGGAGAGGUGGUACAGCACAGAAGGAGAAGGAAGGUACCAUAAUGGAGGGCUGCCCAGCACAGAGUAUAUGAACCUGAACAAGGUCAAGAGGGUAUCCACACAAGGGGAGAGAAGGCAGCCUGGUGUAGUAAAACCUAUGGAAAGUCUCUGUGUAGGAGGGCAUUUUAAUAGAGUAUCAGAACCCGAGAGAGGCGAGAUAGAGAAGGAUGGUUUAGUAGAGAAUGCUAGAACACAGGCAACAAUGAGGAUGACAUCAUAGGACAGAGAGUGGCAGCAGUCAGAGACUGGUCACAUAGAUGGGUCAAAUAUGCUAAUAUAUUAAGGAUACUGAGAGCCAGAUUUCUCAUUGUCAGAGAAGGGAGUUACUAUUAUUGAAGUAGAGAAAACGAAUAUGAACCUUGGGAUGUCAAACUGAAAUUGGAGAAUGUGCUCUAGAGAAUGUGCUCUACAAAAAAGGAGAGAGUAAGCCAAAUCAGAAGACAACCUGGGACACAAAAAAACGAGAUUCAACACAGGAGAGACAGAAAAAUGCUGAAGAGAAACCUGGGGCCACAGCUGUAGACUAAACCAGAGGGGCAACCAGUCCAGAUUGGAACAGAAGAUUCCAAGCACCAACUUUAGGACACAGUUAUUAAUAUCCAAGGAAAUAACUUUCUGUUCCUCAUCAAAAACAACUUUUCACAUCCAGACCAAAUAAAAAUGUUAACUCUCAAAAGUAUUUUGCCAAAACUUCAAAAUAAGAAAUUUUGAAAUCUAUGCCUUCCAAACAAUGAACGUUUAGAUUCUACUUCAGGAUAGGGAAGACUGAAGACAGCAUCAGAAAGUAGCAUACACAUCUUUUCUUCAAGAGUCUUGUAAAUGGAUACCUUAAUAAGUAUCUCAACUCUAA